AAGUCGUAACAAGGUUUCCGUAGGUGAACCUGCGGAAGGAUCAUUAUUGAAUACGAUUGGGACUGAUGCUGGCUCUUUACUGAGCAUGUGCUCGUUCCAUCUAUUUAUCUUCUCUUGUGCACAUCUUGUGGUCUUGAAAUGAAGUCUCUUGCUUUUGUGCGGUUCAGGAGCUUGCUCCUGCUUCUUUCAAGGUCAUGUUUUCAUAUACACUACCAAGUUAUAGAAUGUCUUUUAACGGUUGCGCAAGCAGUCAUUAAACCUAUACAACUUUCAGCAACGGAUCUCUUGGCUCUC
rnacentral:misc_RNA from 1 species